rnacentral:rRNA from 1 species
UACGGAGGGUGCAAGCGUUAUCCGGAUUCACUGGGUUUAAAGGGUGCGUAGGUGGGUUGGUAAGUCCGUGGUGAAAUCCCCGAGCUUAACUUGGGAACUGCCAUGGAUACUAUUAAUCUUGAAUGUCGUGGAGAUGAGCGGAAUAUGUCAUGUAGCGGUGAAAUGCUUAGAGAUGACAUAGAACACCAAUUGCGAAGGCAGCUCACUACACGAAUAUUGACACUGAGGCACGAAAGCGUGGGGAUCAAACAGG